rnacentral:rRNA from 1 species
ACACGUAGGGGGCGAGCGUUGUUCGGAAUCAUUGGGCGUAAAGGGCGCGCAGGCGGCCGCGUAAGUCUGGUGUAAAAUGGUUGUGCUCAACACAAUCAUGCGCUGGAAACUGCGGGGCUUGAGUCAACGAGGGGAUGCCGGAAUUCCAGGUGUAGGGGUGAAAUCUGUAGAUAUCUGGAAGAACACCAGUGGCGAAGGCAGGCAUCUGGCGACUGACUGACGCGGAGGCGCGAAGGUGCGGGGAGCAAACAGGUUUAGAUACCCUGGUAGUCCGCACAGAAAACGAUGUGCACCAGGUGGCGGGCAGCAGUGCUCGGUACCGAAGCAAACGCAUUAAGUGCACCGCCUGGGGAGUAUGCCCGCAAGGGUGAAACUCAAAGGAAUUGACGGGG